CCCUUAGAUGUCCUGGGCCGCACGCGCGCUACACUGAGUGUCUGAGAUACGAGUCUGCCUGGUCCGGCAAGGUCUAGGUAAUCGCUAAAAGACACAUCAUGCUUGGGAUAGAUUAUUGCAAAUAUUAAUCUUGAACGAGGAAUUCCUAGUAAGCGCAAGUCAACAGCUUGCGUUGAUUACGUCCCUGCCCUUUGUACACACCGCCCGUCGCUACUACUGAUUGGAUGUUUAAGCGAGGUUCUCGAACUGCUAGCGACUUAGCUUCGGUGAGGUCGCAGUGUGGGAAGUGAACCUAGCUUUGGUGUCUAGAGGAAGUAAAAGUUGUAACA
rnacentral:rRNA from 1 species